rnacentral:rRNA from 1 species
AUUGAACGCUGGCGGCAGGCCUAACACAUGCAAGUCGAACGGUAACAGAAAGUAGCUUGCUACUUUGCUGACGAGUGGCGGACGGGUGAGUAAUGUCUGGGGAUCUGCCUGAUGGAGGGGGAUAACUACUGGAAACGGUAGCUAAUCCCGCAUAAUGUCGCAAGACCAAAGCGGGGGACUUUCCGGCCUCGCCCCAUCAGAUGAACCCAGAUGGGAUUAGCUAGUAGGUAAGGUAAUGGCUUACCUAGGCGACGAUCCCUAGCUGGUCUGCGAGGAUGACCAGCCACACUGGAACUGAGACACGGUCCAGACUCCUACGGGAGGCAGCAGUGGGGAAUAUUGCACAAUGGGCGCAAGCCUGAUGCAGCCAUGCCGCGUGUAUGAAGAAGGCCUUCGGGUUGUAAAGUACUUUCAGUCAGGAGGAAGGGUGUGAAAUUAAUACUUUCAUGCAUUGACGUUACUGACAGAAGAAGCACCGGCUAACUCCGUGCCAGCAGCCGCGGUAA